CCCGCACGCCGGAAGACCAAGGGUUCCUGUCCAACGUUAAUCGGGGCAGGGUGAGUCGACCCCUAAGGCGAGGCUGAAAAGCGUAGUCGAUGGGAAACAGGUUAAUAUUCCUGUACUUGGUGUUACUGCGAAGGGGGGACGGAGAAGGCUAGGCUGGCCGGGCGACGGUUGUCCCGGUUUAAGCGUGUAGGGGGGAGUGACCAGGUAAAUCCGGUUGCUUAUCAACCCUGAGGCGUGAUGACGAUGCACCACGGUGCAGAAGCAGUUGAUGCCAUGCUUCCAGGAAAAGCCUCUAAGCAUCAGGUAACAUUAAAUCGUACCCCAAACCGACACAGGUGGUCAGGUAGAGAAUACUCAGGCGCUUGAGAGAACUCGGGUGAAGGAACUAGGCAAAAUGGUGCCGUAACUUCGGGAGAAGGCACGCUGGCGUUAGGUGAAAGGACUAGCUCCUGGAGCUGAAGCCAGUCGCAGAUACCAGCUGGCUGCAACUGUUUAAUAAAAACACAGCACUGUGCAAACACGAAAGUGGACGUAUACGGUGUGACGCCUGCCCGGUGCUGGAAGGUUAAUUGAUGGGGUCAGCCGCAAGGCGAAGCUCUUGAUCGAAGCCCCAGUAAACGGCGGCCGUAACUAUAACGGUCCUAAGGUAGCGAAAUUCCUUGUCGGGUAAGUUCCGACCUGCACGAAUGGCGUAAUGAUGGCCAGGCUGUCUCCACCCGAGACUCAGUGAAAUUGAACUCGCUGUGAAGAUGCAGUGUACCCGCGGCAAGACGGAAAGACCCCGUGAACCUUUACUAUAGCUUGACACUGAACAUUGAGCCUUGAUGUGUAGGAUAGGUGGGAGGCCUUGAAGUGUGGACGCCAGUCUGCAUGGAGCCAACCUUGAAAUACCACCCUUUAAUGUUUGAUGUUCUAACUCGGCCCCAUGAUCUGGGGUGAGGACAGUGUCUGGUGGGUAGUUUGACUGGGGCGGUCUCCUCCCAAAGAGUAACGGAGGAGCACGAAGGUUAGCUAAUCACGGUCGGACAUCGUGAGGUUAGUGCAAAGGCAUAAGCUAGCUUGACUGCGAGAGUGACGGCUCGAGCAGGUACGAAAGUAGGUCUUAGUGAUCCGGUGGUUCUGAAUGGAAGGGCCAUCGCUCAACGGAUAAAAGGUACUCCGGGGAUAACAGGCUGAUACCGCCCAAGAGUUCAUAUCGACGGCGGUGUUUGGCACCUCGAUGUCGGCUCAUCACAUCCUGGGGCUGAAGUAGGUCCCAAGGGUAUGGCUGUUCGCCAUUUAAAGUGGUACGCGAGCUGGGUUUAGAACGUCGUGAGACAGUUCGGUCCCUAUCUGCCGUGGGCGUUGGAAGAUUGAGAGGGGCUGCUCCUAGUACGAGAGGACCGGAGUGGACGAAUCACUGGUGUUCGGGUUGUCAUGCCAAUGGCAUUGCCCGGUAGCUAAAUUCGGAAGAGAUAACCGCUGAAAGCAUCUAAGCGGGAAACUUGCCUCGAGAUGAGUCUUCCCUGGGACUUAAAGUCCCCUGAAGGAACGUUAAAGACUAUGACGUUGAUAGGCUGGGUGUGUAAGUGCAGCGAUGUAUUGAGCUAACCAGUACUAAUGAUCCGUGAGGCUUAACCUUACAACACCGAAGGUGUUU
rnacentral:rRNA from 1 species